rnacentral:rRNA from 1 species
AUGGAAAUCACAGAGGAACAUGAUCAAAGGUACACACCACGUUUCAACUCAAGAAACUUAAACAGGACAUUGAAAAGGACAUAUAUGGAAAUUUGGGACUUCGGAAGUCCAAGCCACAAGUGUGAAUGGUGUGGUGCAAUAUUUUGGACACAACAUAAAGAGGAGAUACAAGGGCUGACAAAGAAGAAGGAUAAGAAACAAAAACAUGAGAGGGACAGGAAAAGAGAGAAGAGGACCUACAAGUGUAAGAUGAAGGUGACUGUCGGGCUGCCUCGCUCGGGGGCAGCCACGAUGCGAUCGAAAACAACACCGUCGGCAUCUCAAAAUCAAGGUGGAUCUAAGCUGGUUGCGGGAGACAAGAUCCACACCAACAUCACGUGGAUGGACGGCGACGGCAACGGGGCCGUCGAGAUCGACAAGCUCGCUUCCUCCCUAGAGCCACUUCUCCUUGGGCCCUACUACCACUCCGUCGCCGUUGACCGGUCUGAGAGAUUGACGAGGCGUAUAGGAGCCAAACCAGGUGCCGUAGACGGCAACCCCAUGGCCGCACCAAAACGACAAGGUGUGAGUGCGAGAGAAGAUUUUUUUAGAGGCGACGAGUGCGAGAGAAGACUUGAACGUUGGAUCCAUUUGAGCGGUCGCAUCAAGAAAAGCCACGGGUUGGAGCAACGCACUCCCGAAGAUUUUGAUGAGAAUGUUAGUGACCAAUAUUUCCUAAAACAUGGAAGGGAGGUUCUCUACAGGGAAAACCACCAAGGAUAUGUAUAA